AGUGAACGCUGGCGGCGUGCUUAACACAUGCAAGUCGAACGAGAACGGAUUAUAGCUUGCUAUAAUUGUCAGCUAAGUGGCGCACGGGUGAGUAAUGUAUAGGUAAUAUGCCUCUUACUAAGGGAUAACAAAUGGAAACGUUUGCUAAUACCUUAUACUCCUUAUUAACAUAAGUUAAUAAGGGAAAGAUUUAUUGGUAAGAGAUUAGCCUGUAUUGUAUCAGUUAGUUGGUGGGGUAAUGGCUUACCAAGAAUAUGACACAUAACUGGUUUGAGAGUAUGAUCAGUCACACUGGAACUGAGACACUGUCCGGACUCCUACGGGAGGCAGCAGUGGGGAAUAUUGCACAAUGGACGGAAGUCUGAUGCAGCAACGCCGCGUGGAGGAUGACACAUUUCGGUGCGUAAACUCCUUUUAUACGAGAAGUUAAUGACGGUAUUAUAUGAAUAAGCACCGGCUAACUCCGUGCCAGCAGCAGCCGCCG
rnacentral:rRNA from 1 species